AUGACGAGUCGGCUUCAACCACUCAUCCCUUUCCUCGUCCACUCGGAGCAGACUGGGUUCUUGCGCGGGAGGUGUAUCUCUGAGAAUUUCGUCUUGGCUGCAGAGCUGGUUCAGUGUUGCCACAAGAGGAAGCUGCCGGCAGUCGUGCUCAAACGGGAGUUUAGAAAAGCCUUUGACUCCGUCUCCUGGGUUGCUCUGGACCGUAUCUUGGAGGCGAAAGGAUUCUCGACCAGAUGGCGCAAGUGGGUGAGUGAUCUAAACACCUCCAGUAGGUCUGCUGUUGUGCUCAAUGAUGUGCCCGGGCGAUGGUUUGAAUGCAAAAAAGGCCUGCGACAAGGAGACUCCUUAUCCCCGUACCUCUUCAUUCUGGUAGCGGAUGUGCUCCAACGCCUCAUCUUGGCGAUCGGUGCCGAAGGAGGCCUUCAACACCCCCUGGAGCCGUCGCUCCCGUGCCCCGUCCUUCAAUAUGCAGACGACACCUUGAUCCUUCUUAAAGCUGAUCCAGACCAAGUCGCCAAGCUCAAGAGGGUGCUGGACACCUUCGCGGCCAACACUGGUCUCGCCCUCAACUUUGACAAAUGCACCUUUGUCCCCAUCAACGUAGAGCCUGAGAUGGCAUGCCAGCUUGCUGCUGUUUUCGGAUGCCCCGUGGCUGCUUUCCCACAACAAUACCUGGGGCUGCCUCUGUCUGCUACUAGACUCAAGCUGGAUGAUUUCUAUCCGCUAAUUGCAAGGGUGGAUAAAUGGCUAGCUGGGUGGUGCGGUUUGCUGCUAUCCUCUGCUGGCAAAUGGACCUUGGUCGACGCGGUCCUCACGUCCCUGCCUACUUACGCCAUGGGCUCCAUCCAAUUGGCUGAAGGCACACACGCCAGCUUUGAGAAGAAAUGCCGAGCCUUCUUCUGA
rnacentral:rRNA from 1 species